rnacentral:rRNA from 1 species
CGCACGGGUGAGUAACACGUGAGUGACCUGCCUUUUAGACUGGAACAACUUACCGAAAGGUGAGCUAAUGCCGGAUGAGUUAUAUAAGUGCAUGUUUAUAUAGGAAAAGUGGGGGAGACCUGACGCUGAAAGAUGGACUCGCGUCCCAUUAGCUAGUUGGUAGGGUAAUGGCCUACCAAGGCGACGAUGGGUAGCCGGCCUGAGAGGGUGGCCGGCCACACUGGGACUGAGACACGGCCCAGACUCCUACGGAAGGCAGCAG